AGAGUUUGAUCAUGGCUCAGAGCGAACGCUGGCGGCAGGCCUAACACAUGCAAGUCGAGCGCCCCGCAAGGGGAGCGGCAGACGGGUGAGUAACACGUGGGAACGUACCCUUCGGUUCGGAAUAGCCCGGGGAAACUCGGAGUAAUACCGGAUACGUCCGUAAGGAGAAAGAUUUAUCGCCGAAGGAUCGGCCCGCGUCUGAUUAGCUUGUUGGUGAGGUAACGGCUCACCAAGGCUACGAUCAGUAGCUGGUCUGAGAGGAUGAUCAGCCACACUGGGACUGAGACACGGCCCAGACUCCUACGGGAGGCAGCAGUGGGGAAUAUUGGACAAUGGGCGCAAGCCUGAUCCAGCCAUGCCGCGUGAGUGAUGAAGGCCCUAGGGUUGUAAAGCUCUUUCGGCGGGGAAGAUAAUGACGGUACCCGCAGAAGAAGCCCCGGCCAACUUCGUGCCAGCAGCCGCGGUA
rnacentral:rRNA from 1 species